rnacentral:rRNA from 1 species
UACGGAGGAUGCAAGCGUUAUCCGGAUUUAUUGGGUUUAAAGGGUGCGUAGGCGGAAAAUUAAGUCAGUGAUGAAAUCCUGCAGCUUAACUGUAGAACUGUUAUUGAUACUGGUUUUCUUGAAUAUAGUUGAGGUAGGCGGAAUGUGUAAUGUAGCGGUGAAAUGCUUAGAUAUUACACAGAACACCGAUUGCGAAGGCAGCUUACUAAGCUAUGAUUGACGCUGAGGCACGAAAGCGUGGGGAGCGAAC